ensembl:lncRNA
AUGAUCAGUGGAAACAGGAUGUCACGUCCCCAGGCUGAUCUGUCUGUUUUUCUCUUAUUGUGUGUGUGCUUGUGGUUGUUUACACUUACCAUGUGCUUCUGUGUCAUCGUGGUGCCCGUCUCCGCCCUCUUGUUUCAUUAUUAUUUUGUUAUUGGCCACUAUCACCUGCUCUGCAUUAUGUUAAUCACUCCUUCUCUAUUUAGUCUCCUCUCGUGUGCUGUCUGUUGUCAGAUCGUCGUGUUGUGCUCGUUUAUGUCUCAGCUCCAUCCACAGCUCAUGUUUUGCCUGCACAGAGAUCGUGCUAGUUUUGUUUUCAUCCUUUAGUUUUGUUUUCUCCCUCUUCCUCCUGCUUUCAGGCAGCGCUAAUUCUCCUACCCUUCCCUUGCUCGCGAUCACCGAUUGCCGUCAGUGCUCUUCUUCGCCUCGCUGCCGGUGCGCCACCAGUUCCCCGCCUCAACAACGCCCCCGCCUCUCUGUCAGUUUAUCUCGGCCUUGCUGUGGACUUUCUUUGUGGAAUUCGUCCAGGAGGCACUUCUUGAUCUGCUCCGGGCUGCCCUGUACCUGGAUAGUUUUUUGUUUACUUUUUUUCCCUUUUUUUGAAAUUCAAGCCUGUUAAAUAAACUGACCUUUUGGGCACCUGCAACUGAGUCCAAGUCUCGUACUGACACAGGAUGCACCUGAGGUCAAUUUUAUCAUGGCAAAGGCUGUGAGUACUUAUGUACAUAUGAUUUUUUCGUUUUUUUAUUUAAUUUAAUUUAAUAAAAUUUUAUUUUAUUAAUUAAAUUAGCAAAGAUUUCAAACAAACUUCUUUCACAUUGUCAUUAUGGGGCAUUGUUUUUAGAAUUUUGUGGAAAAUAAUUUAAUCCAUUUUGGAACAAGGUUUUAACAUAACAAAAUGUGGGAAAAGUGAAGCGCUGUGAAUACUUUCCGGAUGCACUGUACAGGGGUGUUAUAUCUUGGUGGAAAACCAGAGCCUGUGUAAUUCAUGUGCUUCUCCAUGUGGAGAUCUUGAAAGAGGUGUGGGCCAGAUAUUGAAUGCCACACAAGUUAUAUGUUUUAUUUUGAUGACCUAUUCAGUCAGUUCGUAAUCUUCUAAUGUAUACUAUGUUAUUGUUGUUUUUCCUGCAGUCUGGUUAAUAAAACUCAGUUCAAUUGCAAUUUAUAUCUGUUGUCUUUCUUGGUCAAAAUCUUACAGUGAAUUUGAGAACAACUAUUUAUAUGUUAAGCUGUAUUUGUCUCUUCGACCCUGUUACCAUCUUCAACCCCGUUACCCUAGUCUCAACCCCGUCACACCUAAAUUUUUUAUUAUCAUUAUUAUUAUUAAGUUUAUGAAGAAGUAAUUUAUUGUUUGUUGAACUCAGUCGGAAAUGUUCAGAUCAAUCAUAAGAAAACUGAUCUUAGUUCAAAUUCUGACGUUAACACACUUCUUUGAUCAAAAAUGAUGAGGUUGCUGUCACAAAAAAUUCAAUUUCAGGCUUUAAUAUAGCAAAAGUGUGAGAUUUUAUGUAACUUUUAUAUGCGCAAAAACUGAAUUAGUGUGAGGGACAUCUGAUUAAUAGGAAAAUGUUGAUUUCAUUACAAUCAUUACAAUCAUAUUCAGAGAGCUCCCAUAGUGUCCAUAACGGGGUUGAAGAUUAA